AGUGGCAGACGGGUGAGUAACGCGUGGGAAUCUACCGUGCCCUGCGGAAUAGCUCCGGGAAACUGGAAUUAAUACCGCAUACGCCCUACGGGGGAAAGAUUUAUCGGGGUAUGAUGAGCCCGCGUUGGAUUAGCUAGUUGGUGGGGUAAAGGCCUACCAAGGCGACGAUCCAUAGCUGGUCUGAGAGGAUGAUCAGCCACAUUGGGACUGAGACACGGCCCAAACUCCUACGGGAGGCAGCAGUGGGGAAUAUUGGACAAUGGGCGCAAGCCUGAUCCAGCCAUGCCGCGUGAGUGAUGAAGGCCUUAGGGUUGUAAAGCUCUUUCACCGGAGAAGAUAAUGACGGUAUCCGGAGAAGAAGCCCCGGCUAACUUCGUGCA
rnacentral:rRNA from 1 species